AUGAAGUACUGAUGUACGCUACAGCCUGGUGAACCUUGAAAACAUGGUGGUCUUUGUGCAAAGUCCAGAAUUAGUCAUGGCAGCUGACAUAGAAGCAACAACUAGCCGAAGGUACGGAAUAUAUUCAGGGAUGCAGUAAGUAAUCAAGUACCCUAAGGAAACAGACAGAGAUACACAAGAGUGCUUAUUGCAGCAUUAUUUGGAAACAAUAUUAAUCAAACGGGAAACAAUUCAAAGGAUUAUUACACAGCUGUUAGUGACUGACAUACAGCUACAUACAUCAACAUAGAUGAAUUUCAAACUACUGAAUGGAGAAGCUAGGUGCGGAAGGAUACUAUGGCAUGAUGUCAUUUAUUUACAGUUUUCAGACAUUCAAAACAAAGAUCUGAAGCAUUAAAAAGAACCGGCAACCUUGUGUGUUUGCAGUAGAUUGUUGUUCUGUGUGGGCCCCUAGGGUAGACUGCCUUUUCCUGACUGUUCUGAGCCCAUGCAGAGAAGAGAUGGGGAGCUCAGGGCACUAACAGAAUCAAAACUAUGACUAUCCUAAAUACCACUCACUAAUGUUAACAAAAACUGCACCUAGCGUUUGGUUCCUCAGGUUGCUCAGUUAAAAUAUAGGAUAUGUUCAUGGCCUCAUUAGGUUUCUUAUCUGAAAGCUGAGGUGCUAGUUGGUAAAGCCUGAUGUCUUGAAAAAUCAGAAUGGGGAACUUUGGGAGGACCCCCUUUAUAUAGGUGCCAUUUUGAGUAGCUUUUUCUGCAUCAUUUUUAUUAAUGACUUUUAAAAUACAUCUGGUUUUAGUACCCUUUGUAGCAUUUUUACAGUUAUCAUCAAAAGCUAUACAAAGAACACCAACAGCGUCUUAAUGAGAUUUAUAUUGCUUUGCACACUGUAGUGGGGCAACAUCCCACUAGUCUUCCCCAGCCUCUGCUAAAGCCCACAUCCUCCAUCUGGCCUCUGAUUUUCUUGUUCAGUAGAGUGGUUAAGCUCUCACAUAUCUACAUGUACAAAAAAUUGUUAAAAAGUCUUUGAGUAGCUCCUGGGGCCCAGGGCUGAGCCAAAUCAAUCUGGUUGCUUGCUGCCUCGUGAAGAUAGCCAAAUGAUCAUGUAAAAGUGAAAUUACAACUAUGACAGUCAAUAGGUAGAGUGCUAGAUGAUCAUAUAAAAAGUAGAUCUGACCCAGAUGGAGACUCAGGGAAAGAAUCCCUUAGGAAAUCAUUUUCAAGUUGAGAUCAGAUAUUUAAAAAGUGGACUAGGUGGGUGUAGGGGUAAUUGCAUUCCAGAUGGUGAACAGCAGGAGGCCCAUGGUGGUGGAGAGAGGGGGGCCUGUUUGAGAACUGGAGCAUGUGGUGUGGUUAGGUAUGGGGUGGGGGUGGGGUAACAAUGAGAGGCUUUGCCUUGAGAACCAGGUAUAAAAUUUUAGUUCUGAGAAGAUCUGUCUGUCCCCUUGGAGGAGCUAAAAGGGGAUUUGGGAAGAGAGUUAAAAGUCUUUGGUGAGAGAUCAGGCAAGAGACCAUGGUUGUAAAGAAAGGAAAUUAAAUGUGAGAAUUUAAAACUUCACACAAUUGCAUCCAGAACUGCUAAUUUGAAAACUUAGCCCUGUAUUAUUAAACUUGAUGUUUUCAUAAGUUCCCAAAUUUUGUGUUAAAUGAGCUUUAAAUUACAAUAUAUAAAUAUAGCAUUUGACAUUGAAUUUCCAACAUUUUACUUAAGUACUCUAUGAGUAAACUGCUUGCUACUAAAGUUUCAUAUUAAUCUAGUUUAUAUUAAUAAGUGUGUUUAAGCACACGUAAAUCCAUCUAUUAAUUUUCCCCUAUGGGAGCAUUUUUAUUUAUUUUUAUUAAUUAUUUUUUAUGGGUUUUUUCUUUCUUAUUUAUGUAUUUAUUUAUAAAGAUUUAUUUAUUACUUUAGAGAGAGAGAACAUGAGUGGGAGGGGGGGAGAAUCUCAAGCAGAUUUAGCACAGAGCCUGACAUGGGGCUCCAUCUCACACCCCUGAGAUCAUGACUUGAGCUGAAACCAAGAGUCGAACACUCAACCAACUGUGCCACCCAGGUGACCCUGAUUUCUUCUGAUAUAUAUGUAACAGGGUACUGGAAAAUAGCAAUCUUUUGUAAAAAUGUUAAGAAGAUGUUAAAACAGUUGAUAUUAUAAAAUGCCAAAUAAUCUGUAAAGGUAGGUGUCUGUGGUUUGAGAUAGUAAAUGUCAGACUAUGAAAGGGGAUCAGCUUGGAACUUACUUUAGAAAGAAGUAUUUUUUCUGACAGUAUAAAUGUUUUUAUUUCAUGUUUUAUGUUGGCUUCAUGUUCAAUGUGAGGCUUGAACUCAUGCCCCUGAGAUCCAAAGUCACAUACUCUACCAACUGAGCCAGCCGGGCACCCCAAUGUUUUUAUUUUAGUUAAUACCUAAUAGAAGCAAAAAAAAAACCAAAAAACAAAAAAACUAAUAGAAGCUUUCUUUUUCCCCCUUUUAUUUAUUUAUUUUUAAAGAUUUUAUUUAUUUAUUCAUGAGAGACACAGAGAGAGAGGCAGAGACACAGGUAGAGGGAGAAGCAGGCUCCAUGCAGGAAGCCCAAUGUAGGACUCAAUCCCAGGACUCCAGGAUCACUCCCCGAGCCGAAGGCCAAUGCCCAACCACUGAGCCACCCAGGCAUCCCAUUUUUCCUCCUUUUAAAAAAGAUUUUAUUUAUUUAUUUUGAGAAAGAGUUUGGGGGGUGGGGGGAGAGAGAAAGAUAAUCUCAAAUAGAUUCCAUGCUGAGUGCAGUGUCCAAUGUGGGGUAGCAUCCUAUGACCCUGAGAUCUAGACUGGAGUCGAAGUCAAGUGUCGGAUGCUUAACUGACUGCACCACUCAGGGGCCUAGAAGCUUUCUUUUCUACUUAAUUUCUUAAAAAUUCUAGAUUUUGAAUUGUGAUCUAUGUUGUUAAUGAGGACUCAAGCCUGUUCAGUUUCCUUCAAAUAUCCACUUAAGUUUCUGCUAAAAGUAUAAUGGCAGGGGCGCCUGGGUGGCUCAGACAGUUAAGUGCUCAGACCAUGAUCUCAGGGUCCUGGGACAGAAUCCCGUAUUGGGCUCCCUGCUCAGUGGGGAGCCCGCUUCUCCCUCUGCCUGUGUCUCUGCCUCUCUCUGUGUCUCUCAUGAAUAAAUACAUAAAAUAAAAUUUAAAAAAAGAAAAAGAUAGAUGUGUGCCACCAAGGGAGUAUAAAACAACACUUCCUUUCCUUAGAUGCCUUUGACUAAAUGCACUUGGCCUUCACUUGCACUUCUGGCCCUAAGGAAAAAUAUGCAGAGAAUUCAUGGUAACAGUGCUCCUUGCAGCAGCAUUUAGAGUAGCAAGAAAGUGGGAAGUUGCCUCAAUGUCCAAGGGGUAGUUAUGGGAAAGUUUAAAUUAUUACAGCCAUAUGAUAGAAUGGUAGCCAUAAAAACAAGUGUGAGAAGUGAAUGAAAUUUUCACGUGGAAAAAAUGUUUAUGGUAUGAAAAGAGAACAGGAUCUGAGAUUAUAAACAACAUGAUCAACCAUAUAUACAAUUGUAUGCACAGAAAAAUGUGUAUAGCAGCUUAUUCUAAACUGGAAAAUUCUGCGAUUUUGACUUUUGUACAAAGAACAGGAUUUCUCUGAUAUGCAGGAAUAGUGUUAUUUUUUACAUUGAGAGCCUAUUAUCCCUUUUAGGUGAUCAUAGCUCUAUUUUACUCUGGCUCAGAGGGGAAAAUUGGACAAUUAUUUGGUUGUGUUUAUAUAACCUGCAAACAAGCCGAAAUCUUGUCCUUGUUCUCUCGUUGGUGACCACCUCCACAGAAGCCGAAGUGUGCCUGGAGAAGCUGUUUUCUUGGGUUUGGAGAACAUCAUUCUCAGAAUGUGUUUGAACUAGACAGAUGAAAACGAGUCUUCCCAAACACUCUGUGACUGGAAAAGCUGACUUGGAAAGCAGUUAUUUGGGGAUCCCUGGGUGGCUCAGUGGUUUGACGCCUGCCUUUGGCCCAGGGUGUGAUCUUGGAGUCCUGGGAUCAAGUCCCGCAUCAGGCUCCCUGCAUGGAGUCUGCUUCUCCCUCUGCCUGUGUCUCUGCCUCUCUCUCUCUGUCUCUCAUGAAUAAAUAAAUAUUUUUUAAAAAAGGAAUGCAGUUAUUUAAAAAGCAAUCUCAGAAGACAAUUUAUGAUGUUUUAAAAAAAAUCGAUAUAGAACUUAAUUCAGGAAAAAAAGAAAGUGACCUAAUAUAGCUUAGGCUUUGUCCCAUGGCUUAUAAAUACCAGGUGUUCACUGGAAAAUUUUACAACUAUCUUUGUCAAUCACCUUCUGAAUUAUUUUCUUAUUGCAUUGUUUGUUCUUAUAAUCUUUCAUUUUAUUAAAAUGAAUUUUUAAAUUAAUAAAAAUCAGAACUCAUGCAAACUAUUA